rnacentral:rRNA from 1 species
GGCUACAGCCAUGCCACCCUGAACAAGCCCGAUAUCUGAUCUUGGAAGCUAAGCAGGGUUGGGCCUGAUUAGUACUUAAAUGGGAGACCACGUAGGAAGACCAGGUGCUAUAGGCA